CCCUGACCUCCCUGAGCCGCACUGAGCUGGAAGCCACAGAGGUCAUCCUGGAGCAUGCCCACCGCGGGGAGCAGACAACCUCCCAGGUAAGCUGGGAGCAAGACCUGAAGCUGUUUCUUCAGGAGCCUGGCGUAUUUUCCCCCACCCCACCUCAGCAGUUUCAGCCAGCAGGGACUGAUCAGGUGUGUGUCCUGGAGUGGGGAGCAGAAGGCGUGGCUGGCAAAAGUGGCCUGGAGAAAGAGGUUCAGCGCUUGACCAGCCGAGCUGCCCGUGACUACAAGAUCCAGAACCAUGGGCAUCGGGUGAGGUGGGGGGCACAGGUGUCAUGUGCACCUUCUUGUCUCAGCAAGAAAAGCUGAGAGAGGGGACCUUGGAGCCAUUGAGGGUGUCAUGGAGCUACAGAGGGGAGGGAAAGGUAUUUUAAGGUAACAGUGUGGCACGGUAGUUAAGAGCACAGUUUUUGGAGCUAGACCGACAUAGGUUCAAAUUCUCUUCUGUUGUUUCCUAGUUCUGUAACCCUGGGUAAGGAAGUGACUUAACCUCUCUGGACUUCAAUUUCCUCAUCACUAAAAUAGGGCCAAUAAUAGCGCCCACCUCAUAGGGAAGAUUAAAUGACAUAAUGUAUGUGAUGCAACUAGCAAAGUACCAGGCCCAUAGUAAGUCAUGCCCCACAGUAUUUCCACCCACCCCUGUUCUCUGCCUUCCCAACCAGGUACUGCAACGACUGGAGCAGAGGCGGCAGCAGGCUUCAGAGCGGGAGGCUCCAAGCAUAGAACAGAGGUUACAGGAAGUGCGAGAGAGCAUCCGCCGGGCACAGGUGAGCCAGGUGAAGGGGGCUGCCCGGCUGGCUCUGCUGCAGGGGGCUGGCUUAGAUGUGGAGCGCUGGCUGAAGCCAGCCAUGACCCAGGCCCAGGAUGAGGUGGAGCAGGAGCGGCGGCUCAGCGAGGCUCGGCUGUCCCAGAGGGACCUUUCUCCAACCGCUGAGGAUGCUGAGCUUUCUGACUUUGAGGAAUGUGAGGAGACGGGAGAGCUCUUUGAGGAGCCUGCCCCCCAAGCCCUGGCCACUAGGCCCCUCCCCUGCCCUGCACAUGUGGUAUUUCGCUAUCAGGUAUGAAUGGGGGUGGGGACCUCUGAUGGCCAAGGGUCGGGGACAGCCAAGUCCUGAAUCCUUCAUGUGUGGCCCAGGCAGGGCGUGAGGAUGAGCUGACAAUCACGGAGGGUGAGUGGCUGGAGAUCAUAGAGGAGGGAGAUGCUGACGAAUGGGUCAAGGCUCGGAACCAGCACGGCGAGGUAGGCUUUGUCCCUGAGCGGUAUCUCAACUUCCCGGACCUCUCCCUCCCAGAGAGCAGCCAAGACAGUGACAAUCCCUGCGGGGCAGAGCCCACAGCAUUCCUGGCACGGGCCCUGUACAGCUACACCGGACAGAGUGCAGAGGAGCUGAGCUUCCCUGAAGGGGCACUCAUCCGUCUGCUGCCCCGGGCCCAAGAUGGAGUAGAUGACGGCUUCUGGAGGGGAGAAUUUGGGGGCUGUGUUGGGGUCUUCCCCUCCCUGCUGGUGGAAGAGCUGCUUGGCCCCCCAGGGCCACCUGAACUCUCUGACCCUGAGCAGAUGCUGCCGUCCCCUUCUCCUCCCAGCUUCUCCCCACCUGCACCUACCUCUGUGUUGGAUGGGCCCCCUGCACCUGUCCUGCCUGGGGACAAAGCCCUGGACUUCCCUGGGUUCCUGGACAUGAUGGCACCUCGACUCAGGCCGAUGCGUCCACCACCUCCCCCACCGGCUAAAGCCCCGGAUCCUGGCCACCCAGAUCCCCUCACCUGAAGGCCAGGGAAGCCUUGACCCCCAGUGAUGCUGCUGUCCCUAUCUUCAAGCUGUCAGACCACACCAUCAAUGAUCCAGAACAACACAGCCAAAAGCUGGAAUCUCCCUUAUUUCCACCCUCACCUCCAAGGGUGGAAACUUGCCCCUUCCCAUUUCUGGGGCUGGAACCCACUCCUUUUUUUCCCAUUGUUCUAUCAUCUCUAGGACCGGAACUACUACUUUCUCUUCUGCCAUCACCCUAUCUAGGGUGGUGAAAUGCCUGAAAUCUCUGGGGCUGGAAACCACCCAUCAAGGUCUCUAGUGGUUCUGGCCCACGUCUUUCCCCACCCUGGCUCCAUGACCCACCCCACUCUGGAUGCCAGGGUCACUGGGGUUGGGCCGGGGAGAGGAACAGGCCUUGGGAAUCAGAAGGAGCUGGAGCCAGGAUGCGAAGCAGCUGUAAUGGUCUGAGCGGAUUUAUUGACAAUGAAUAAAGGGCACGAAGGCCAGGCCAGGCCACGGCCUGGGCCUCUUAUGCUAAGAGGGCAGGGGGCCUACGGUGCUAUUGCUUUAGGGGCCCACCAGGGGCAGGGGCCUGCUCCCAGCUGCCACGCUCUAUCAUAUGGAGCGAGGUGUUGGGGAAGGCGGGGCAGGCAGCCUGUUGCAGGCAGGGGAAGGAGAAGAGACUGAGGGGCUGUGACCUCUCCUGAGGCUCCCAGCCUGAGACUGUGCAACUCCAGGUGGAAGUAGAGCUGGUCCCUCAGCUGGGGGGCAGUGCUGUCCAGUGGAGGGGAGGGCCUUCACGUCCACCCACCCCCUGGCCCUGCCAGCUGGUAGUCCAUCAGCACAGUGAAGAAGGAGACUUGGAGAAGAGGAAGAGUAACAGUGUUGCUUCCUGUUCAAGCUGUGUCCAGCUUUUCCCUUGGGGCUCCAGGACCUUCCCUACCUCCACCACCAAACCAAGGGAUUUAUAGCAAAGGCUAAGCCUGCAGUUUACUCUGGGGGUUCAGGGAGCUGAAAGGCUUAAGUAUUUUAAAUAGGUGACAUGAAGAUGAGAUUACCUCAUUUAGGGCUCAGGCAGACUCACCUCACAUACUCCCUGCUCCCUGUGGUAGAGACACCUGAGAGAAAGGGGAGGGGUCAACAAUGAGAGACCAGGAGUAGAUCAUAUCAGUGCCCCCCAGAGUAGAGAGCAAUAAGAGCCCAGCCCAGUGCAGUCCCGGCUGUGUUUUCCUACCUGGUGAUCGGAAGUGUCUGGUUUGCUUGGCUGCCCAUUUGCCUCUUGAGUGGGCAGCCCUGGGCUUGGGCCCCUCCCUCCGGCCCUCAGUGUUGGCUCUGCAGAAGCUCUGCAGUUCCCUUCAAGUGCACGAGGGGCUAGGCUGCUGUCCCUGAGUCCUCCAUUCUGUACUGGGGGGCUGGCUAGGACCUGGGGCUGUGGCCUCUCAGGGGGCAGCCUCUCCAUGGCAGGCAUCCCUGCCUUGGGCUGCCCUCCCCCAGACCCCUGACCACCCCCUGGGUCCUGUCCCCCACCAGAGCCCCAGCUCCUGUCCGUGGGGGAGCCAUCACGGUGUUCGUGCAGUCCAUAGCGCUUCUCAAUGUGUGUCACCCGGAACCUGGGAGGGGAGGGAACACUGGGGUUUAGGACCACAACUCAGAGGCUGCUUGGCCCUCCCCUCUGACCAGGGACAUCCUGAGUUUGUGGCUACUUCCCUCUGGCCUAAGGUAGGGGAGGCCUUCUCAGAUUGUGGGGCACACUGUGUAGCCUGACUUCUGCUGGAGCUCCCAGUCCAGGAGGAAAGAGCCAAGGCCCACUUUUGGGAUCAGGUGCCUGAUCAUUGGGCCCCCUACCUCAGCCUCCCUUUCCCUGGAGCACCUGCCCCACCUGCCCACAGAGAACACAGUGGUCUCCCCUGUCCGGGGGCGGCUUUUUCCUUCCUUGGAGCGUCCCUGACGGACAAGUGGAGGCCUCUUGCUGCGGCUGCAAUGGAUGCAAGGGGCUGCAGAGCCCAGGUGCACUGUGUGAUGAUGGGAGGGGGCUCCGUCCUGCAGGCUGGAGGUGGCAUCCACACUGGACAGCAGGGAGGAGGGGAGCAAGGGUAACAUUUCCAUUUCCCUUCAUGUUUUGUUUCUUACGUUCUUUCAGCAUGCUCCUUAAAACCCCAGAAGCCCCAAUUUCCCCAAGCCCCAUUUUUUCUUGUCUUUAUCUAAUAAACUCAAUAUUAAG
rnacentral:sRNA from 1 species